rnacentral:misc_RNA from 1 species
AACCAUUCUCACCUGCGGCUAGACCUGCGGAAGGAUCAUUACAACAAGGUUCCCUGGCCCUCGAAGCUUCGGCGGAGGGGCGCUACAGCCUGACUUUAUACCCACCCUUUGCCUAUGUGUACCCCUAUUGCUUCCCUCGGCGGGCUCGCCCGCCGACAGGAACCAACUAAACCCUUUGCAUUAUACAUUUAACACUUCCGAUACAAAACCAAAUUAUUACAACUUUCAACAAUGGAUCUC